rnacentral:rRNA from 1 species
AGAGUUUGAUCCUGGCUCAGGACGAACGCUGGCGGCGUGCCUAACACAUGCAAGUCGAACGGAAACAUGAGGAAGAAUUAUCGGAAUCAUGUUUUAGUGGCGGACGGGUGAGUAACGCGUGGGUAAUCUGCCCAGUAGAGUGGAACAACUCAAGGAAACUUGAGCUAAUACCACAUAGAGAUUAUUUGUCGCAUGGUGAAUAGUUCAAAGGAGAAAUCCGCUAUUGGAUGAGCCCGCGUCCCAUUAGCUAGUUGGUGUGGUAAAAGCAUACCAAGGCCACGAUGGGUAGCCGGACUGAGAGGUUGAACGGCCACAUUGGGACUGAGACACGGCCCAGACUCCUACGGGAGGCAGCAGUGGGGAAUAUUGCGCAAUGGGGGAAACCCUGACGCAGCGACGCCGCGUGGAGGAAGACGGUCUUUGGAUUGUAAACUCCUUUAAUCUGUGAAGAAAAAAAUGACGGUAGCAGAAGAAUAAGCUCCGGCUAACUACGUGCCAGCAGCCGCGGUAAUACGUAGGGAGCAAGCGUUGUCCGGAAUUACUGGGUGUAAAGGGUGCGUAGGCGGGUAUUUAAGUCAGAUGUGAAAACCAUGGGCUCAACUUAUGGAUUGCAUUUGAAACUGGGUAUCUUGAGUGCAGGAGAGGAAAGCGGAAUUCCUAGUGUAGCGGUGAAAUGCGUAGAUAUUAGGAGGAACACCAGUGGCGAAGGCGGCUUUCUGGACUGUAACUGACGCUGAUGCACGAAAGCGUGGGGAGCGAACAGGAUUAGAUACCCUGGUAGUCCACGCUGUAAACGAUGGAUACUAGGUGUUGGGGAGUCAAAUCCUC